AGCCUUCUGUAUCCGUGCUGAGAUUUCGUCACACACCAGACCACAAGGGCUGAUGAGACUUCCAAGCAGGUAAGGGAAUGA
rnacentral:pre_miRNA from 1 species